CUCUUGGAUGUUUCUUGCGCAGUGCUUUCUGUUUGCGGAGAAAGUUCCAUCACGUCUUCAAGCUCUUCGCCCUCGUCACUGAAGUCUUCGUCUUCGAGGGCAUCUGAAAAAUAUGAAUAUAGAAUUGUUUAAUGAUCACAGGAUGAAACUCUUGCAGCCCCAGUAACACAAUAAGGAUGACAGCAAAGCGAGGAGACAUCACCACUUGAUAUGGAAUCACAAGAGGGGGAUGUCACGGUAUUCUAAAAAGUCGGUUACACUUUUUUUAAUGUUAUAACAAAAUCUAAAAUCAAAAGCUAAAUCAUUGGCUUUUAAUCUAAGUGGGCAUAAAGUCUGGGCAGUCUACACACAGGUUCGAAUAUAAUUCUAGUGAGAAGCAAAAUAUUCAUGUUGGCGUUCUUCUCUAAAUGAGUUGAAUAAACCGUGGCCCACGUGAAAUUCAUGACGCAGCCACUUUAAAACAGGCUGAUUAUGUGUCGCAGUUACCAGGCAAAGACAUUUUCGUGAUAUUUGGUAAGAGAAUGCGCCAUGUGUUUACCUGUUUCCCGUGCGCCGCUCUAUGCUUUCUAUCGUGUUUGGCGGCAGGGGAGUAGUUUUAGCCUUUUGAGUUUUUGUUAGACGGGUGGCGCCGCGCGAUGUUAAACAAACUGCCUGGUCUAAAUAAACAAAGGUGAUAGGUCAUUUUCAGGCAUAACGUAUUCACGAAAAAAAACAAAAAAACAAGCAAACCAAGGCCUUUAAUCAACCGUGUUCAACAAUUGAAACAAAAAAUAAUUGAUAACAUUUUUUAGUGGUCAUUGUGUUAUUGUCUUGUACUAACACAAGUCUUAUAAGAAUAUUCAAACACUUUGAUGUUGUGGAAAAAAUCGGAAGUAUUGGAAAUACUUGUCUUUUAGUCGAUAAAACGGUUACCGGUUACUGAGUCAACAUGCAUGUGAUUGUCUAUUAAUUAUUGUUAAAAGAAUGUGUAAAAAGAAACCUGCUACAACGACAAGAGUGUAUCCGUGGCGCUUUGUUGCUGGGAGGUUCUCGUGUACGCACAAAUUAAAGAGAAAUAAAUUUUGAGGGACCAAGAGAGA